GCGGCGGCGCUCGAGCGCUGAUUGGGCAGCGCUGCCGGCCCGCGGUAUAAAGGGCCGGCGGGGCGGGUGGGGGCGGUUGCGUGUGAGGGCUGAGGGUGCGGCCCCGCUGCUGCCCGGGCUGCGGAGGGGAGAGCGCCUUGGCCGCUGGGAUGUCGAGUGCCACCGUGUCCCUGAGGUCACCCUUCCUGCUGUUGGGAGAGCACGAGGUGGAUGGAGAGGAUCCCCAGGCAUCUGCAGGCACAAGGGACUGGCCCAGCUGUGAUUUUCCUCCAGCCCUCGUGAGAGGGACUUUCAGGGUACCAUGGGUCAUGUGCCAGCUCUCCUGCUGGAGCUUUUGUCUGCUGUAUUUGAACACAAAGAGUAGAACUAAA